rnacentral:rRNA from 1 species
CCUACGUUGUUCCUCCUUGGGGCAUCUUGCACAAUGGGGGAAACCCUGAUGCAGCGACGCCGCGUGAGUGAAGAAGUAUUUCGGUAUGUAAAGCUCUAUCAGCAGGGAAGAAAUAGCGACCUUUGGGUCGCCAGACGGUACCUGAUUAAGAAGCCCCGGCUAACUACGUGCCAGCAGCCGCGGUAAUACGUAGGGGGCACGCGUUAUCCGGAUUUACGGGGUGUAAAGGGAGCGUAGACGGCAGCGCAAGUCUGAAGUGAAAUGCCGGGGCUUAACCCCGGAACUGCUUUGGAAACUGUGCAGCUAGAGUGCAGGAGAGGUAAGUGGAAUUCCUAGUGUAGCGGUGAAAUGCGUAGAUAUUAGGAGGAACACCAGUGGCGAAGGCGGCUUACUGGACUGUAACUGACGUUGAGGCUCGAAAGCGUGGGGAGCAAACAGGAUUAGAUACCCGGGUAGUC